rnacentral:rRNA from 1 species
AACUACGGCCAUACCACUCUGGCAACGCCCGAUCUCGUCCGAUCUCGGAAGUUAAGCAGGGUCGGGCCUGGUUAGUACUUGGAUGGGAGACCUGCUGGGAAUACCGGGUGCCGUAGGCU